rnacentral:rRNA from 1 species
AGAGUUUGAUCAUGGCUCAGAACGAACGCUGGCGGCGUGCCUAAUACAUGCAAGUCGAACGAGAAAGUGGAGCAAUCCAUUAGUAAAGUGGCAGACGGGUGAGUAGUACAUAGGUAAUCUACCUUCAAGAUGGGGACAACCUUCCGAAAGGAGGGCUAAUACCGAAUGAGACCACAGUUGCUUCGGCAACAGGGGUUAAA